ACACGAUGACCAUACAGAAUGACUAGACAAGAUUAUCCAUCCUCAUCAUUAUAAGAGACGAGUAACUCACGACUGCUCUGCAAAGACGCCCAGAUCACCUCUAGAUCUCACUGUGCUCACUUUGCCGUCUGUGACUCAAUCCAGCUGUGGAAAGGAUGAAGUGUGUUAUGAUCUUUCUGGUGUUGACGCUGGUCAGCCUCAUGGCCGAACCCGGGGAGAGUGGAGCUGUCAUGUCUGCAAUUAAAUGCAAGGGAAACCCUCCGAUCUGUAUCCAGACCAGAGGAAGAGCAUUCAGACUGAAAGAUUUGGCAAGGGUCCAAGAUGAAGCGGAGUUCGACAAAUCAAAGCUAUACUUUGAAGACUGAUUCAGUUCUUGACUUUGAUGAUAUGGUUGGAGUUAUAUCUUUGUGCUUUGCAAAGCAAGAAAUAAUUUGGCUGAGUCAACAUGAAGCUUUUGAGAUGUAGUGACUUUAGUCACAGCUGUAACUGAUGUUGAACAAUGUCAAAUUGCUUGAUAGUGAAAACUAUCCUGCUGAAUAAAGCUGCAUUACAAAAGACAA